rnacentral:lncRNA from 1 species
CCCGAGGGUAGUGGUGGCUCUGGUGCUCUGCUGUGAGGACUAAGCCUGGGCAGGAGACAAAAACAUCCAUCUCACCGUAGCUCCUCUGACAGAAUGAGUAAGUGUGUGAGCUGUUCCUCAGCAUGGGAACUGCUGCUGCUGAUCUCUGUCCCCCUGCACACAAGCUGCUGAGGGUCCCAUUGCUGCACAUUCCCCUCUCUCCAUGGAGGGCAGCCAAGCACUUUUCUUUUGAGGAUGAUGAAUGUGCAAAACAGUUUUGAACGCUUCAGCUUUAAACAAAGCACUCUCCAAAGCUCCCUUCUGCCUUGGGCAGCCAACCACAAGUCUCCCUGGUGGAAACCUGGCAGCUUCCAUGAGCUCCUUUUGCAGGGCAGGAGGUGGGAGCCCAUGUGGACAUUGAGCAGCAGCUGUAGUCCCCCAGACUCUGGACACACUGACACAGGUUUGAAUGUGUCUGACUUGGCUGGUAUGUCCUGAAGACACUUGCUUGCAUAAAUAAAUUUCAAGUUAG